CACUUCGGUGGGGAUUAGUGGCGAACGGGUGAGUAACACGUGGGCAAUCUGCCCUGCACUCUGGGACAAGCCCUGGAAACGGGGUCUAAUACCGGAUAACACUUCGGGCCUCAUGGUCUGUGGUUAAAAGCUCCGGCGGUGCAGGAUGAGCCCGCGGCCUAUCAGCUUGUUGGUGAGGUAAUGGCUCACCAAGGCGACGACGGGUAGCCGGCCUGAGAGGGCGACCGGCCACACUGGGACUGAGACACGGCCCAGACUCCUACGGGAGGCAGCAGUGGGGAAUAUUGCACAAUGGGCGAAAGCCUGAUGCAGCGACGCCGCGUGAGGGAUGACGGCCUUCGGGUUGUAAACCUCUUUCAGCAGGGAAGAAGCGAAAGUGACGGUACCUGCAGAAGAAGCGCCGGCUAACUACGUGCCAGCAGCCGCGGUAAUACGUAGGGCGCAAGCGUUGUCCGGAAUUAUUGGGCGUAAAGAGCUCGUAGGCGGCUUGUCACGUCGGGUGUGAAAGCCCGGGGCUUAACCCCGGGUCUGCAUUCGAUACGGGCUAGCUAGAGUGUGGUAGGGGAGAUCGGAAUUCCUGGUGUAGCGGUGAAAUGCGCAGAUAUCAGGAGGAACACCGGUGGCGAANGCGGAUCUCUGGGCC
rnacentral:rRNA from 1 species